GCACACCGGGGCCAGUUGCGCGCCACGCAACACACGCGACACGCUCCCUCGUUACUCCCCUCCCCCUUUUUUUAUCAUUACUAUUAUCAUUAUCAUCGCACAGAGAGACGGGGAGACGCUUUGUUUCUCGUUCUCCUGUUUACGGGAAGUAUAUACGUGUUUUAUCCUCGUUCGUGUCCUCUCGGUUCGUAGUGAUAUAUGUAUGUAUGUAUGUAUGUAUAUGUAUAUAUAUAUAUAUAUUGGAGGAUUUCCAAGGAGGAUGUGCGAAUGGAAACGAGAGGGAUUAAAGGGUGGCAAGAUCGAUAAGUGGUCGAGAGAUUCAUGAAAAUAUCCUUGUUUCAAGAUUCGCCACGAUGUGUAAUCAUCUAUUCUUAUUUUGGUGAUAAUUAAGUUAAAUUCAGUGGGGGAAAAAGGUUGAAAGAGUGAAAAAUAAAAAAAAAAAAAAAAAAAAAAAAAAAAAAAAGAAAGAAAAAAUGAAAAAUUCAAAGACUCAAAAAGUGAUUUUUUUGAGAGAAUAGAUUGAUCGCGAAUUAUGACGUUGUGACGUGUGAUUUUGUGACGUGUUGGGUUUUUGGAAGAAUUCUGGCAUUCGUUGCUGGUGAUCUACACAGAAAGUGUGUUUUAUGUUUUUGAAACUGAAUCGACGAAUCGUUGGUGUGCAGUGUCGCGAUCGAGAAACGAUCGCCAGUGAUCGGUGAAGUUUGAAAGUUGUUCCUCGAGCGUAGUGUAAGAAUCCUGGUUGGAGAAUCGAAGAUCGUUCCUUUGACUGGGAGAACGGCGUUGGUCCUCGGCAUGAAGGGGUGUGUUCCAUAUUCCUGCGUGUAUUCCUGAUCGAAGUAGAUUCCUACGAGUGAACCCAGACUUUCGACUCGCGUCUCGAAGCGUAUCGAUAUCGUCGCCUCGCGGCCAACCACAUACAGGAAAGUGUCCUCUCGACUAGAGGAGAAGUGCAAGUACUCGGCAUGAAGGACGCGAAUUGGCCGGUGUUGAUCUGCGUUUUAACGGCGACCACGGUGCUCUCCUGCCGGCAAAGCGAAUUCCAAUGCGGGAACGGGCGGUGCAUCGCUCUGAACAAAGCGUGCAACGCUGUCAACGACUGCG
rnacentral:lncRNA from 1 species